CAGCCGCCGCGGUAAUACGUAGGGUGCAAGCGUUAAUCGGAAUUACUGGGCGUAAAGCGUGCGCAGGCGGCUUUGUAAGUCUGUCGUGAAAUCCCCGGGCUCAACCUGGGAAUGGCGAUGGAGACUGCAAGGCUAGAAUCUGGCAGAGGGGGGUAGAAUUCCACGUGUAGCAGUGAAAUGCGUAGAUAUGUGGAGGAACACCGAUGGCGAAGGCAGCCCCCUGGGCUAAGAUUGACGCUCAUGCACGAAAGCGUGGGGAGCAAACAGGAUUAGAUACCCCCGUAGUCCCUGUCUCUUAUAC
rnacentral:rRNA from 1 species